rnacentral:lncRNA from 1 species
CCAGAAUCAGAAAGACAAAAAAAAAAAACUCCAAGUCAAUAGUCAACUCUAAUUUGCGGAAUUUGAUAUAUCGAAUCGAAUUCCGUCCACAUUUUUUAAAUCACACCGACCAAGGCAAUCAGAAAUUGCAUCAUAAAAUAAAUAAACAAAUAAAAAACACCAUUUGAUUUUACAUCAAAUAUCUUUUAAAAAUCUAAUCUUUGUAAAACAAAUCAAUUAAAAUCCACUAAAAUCUUGUAAAAUCAAAUUUUUUUUUUUUCAAAAACCCCCCUCGUUAUAGAAUCAGUGAAGAAGAUUUGAGCAGGCGAUUCUUCGCCGGCGGUGGCAGUCCCAAUCCUUCAGCCCCUCUCAGCCACCUACAGAUCGUGCAACACACCACUCCACCAUAGACUACUCUUACUCUCUAUUGCUUGUUCCUUCGUGUUUGUUACCUGCAACGAGAAAGAAAAACAGUUGAAAGAAAACCACCGGAGGUGAAGCUGCAAUUCCGAUCACUAAGAAGACUAAAACCCACAUCCCCCUCUGUUAUUCCUUCUUCUCCUCCUUCGAUUGCUGCCAAGAACAACCAAGAGGGCAGUAGCCCAUUUCUUCUUCGUGUUUCCAUCUUCCUGCCAAGCAAUCAAACCCAAACACUUCAAAAACCGCAUCGAUUUUAUAUCAACACAAUCAAAACCAUACAUGUUGCUGAUCCCGUUCAUUUUUUUCUGCUGAAGAAGAACCACCCAAACGCCCUAGCUACCAUGAUCGAUGACUGUCCUGCUAGCCAUGGCUGCUUCCGUUCAUCUUCUUCUAUUCGGUCAGUCCAAAAAUUGAAGACCCGUUUUUACUUCUACCUUAGUUCUUCUACACAACCGGUCAAAGAACGGAGGCGCUCCUUUUUCUUCAUGAUCGGUCGACGACCGAAGGCAAAUUCCAGGCAUCGGAGGCGCUCCAUCUUCUUCGCGAGAUGACGACCGCCAUCAGGCCUCGCAGCCAUCUCGUUUUCCUUCGCAACUCCUUCCAAGACUGAAGACGAGCAGCCCCGCUGCUUCGUCUCUUUCUUCUAGUCCGAGGUCACAGCCGCCUCGCUGCUUCGAUCCUUCUUCUGCGGUCUAGUCGAACGACGGAGGCCGCCACCGAUUGCGAGUCGAGCGACGAACCAUCGUGCUCCCUUCUGGUCGCCGAUUGCCCCUUCGCGUCUAUAAUCGACUUCCUUGGUGACCUCCUUUGGGAACGAUUCAUAUCCUCUACCCCAUCAAAACAAAAGAGAGUAACACCCUGCUCGUGAGUUCAUUGAAGGAAAGAAAAGAAAAGAAAGGAAGAACAAGGAGGAAAAGAAAGGAAAGGGAACGGAAAGGAUAAAGUAUUCGGUGCUCCCGAGAUUAAAAGAAAGGAAAAGAAAGUAUUCAUUUUAGGUGCUUCCGAGUUAAAAGGAAAAGAAAAGAAAAUAAAAAAAGACAAUUAUACCCUUCAUGUUAUUAAGUAAAUAUUUUAAGUGUUUACAACCCCACAAAAAUCUAGAUCACAUUCUUCUUGUCUAUUUGAAAUCAAAAUACCAAAAAAUAAAAUUAAAUCCGAUUAUACAUCUACAACAAACAGUAAGUACUUAAACAUGUAAAAAAAAUUAAAUUUUAAUAUUGAAUUUAAGACUUAUUUGUUAACAAUAUGUGUGUGUUUUUGUUUUUACAUACUUUUAGUUAACUGGACUUUUCGAAAAACCAAUUUAUAGUUUCUUAAUUGCUUAAGUGAAUCCACAAAAAGGAAAAACACCUGUUAUCUUUCUUUCUACACAUCUGUUAUCUUUCUUUUUAUAUAUUUCUGCCCAUUUGCUGAUAUCUAUUUAGUAAAAACAAAUUUGCUGGUAUAGUCAUUUGGUGAUAUUUAUUUCCAAUUUUACCCUUUUUACUUGAAAUAUGAAAACGGUUGUUGCUUAUAAUUAAGAAGAAAUUAUGUACAGAAGAAUAACCAAAAACAAAAGACAUGGAAGAUGAUCAAGAACAGAAUAUCUCCAAAACAACUACUUUGAAGCUGUUUUGUUAUCUCCAAACAGAAGAAUAACAAAAAAAAAAACAGCAUAAGAAUAAGAUGCCUACCAGUUGUUACAAGAAGACAAAAGGCAAGGAGAUCAACACAGGAACGGAUCCUUUUAUCAUCAGGCUAAGGGCAUUUUCGUCAUAAGCUAACCUUUUAUCUUCCAUGCGUUUCUUUCUCUCCAAUUCCUCCCAAUUUGGGAGGAAAGUUUGGAACGAUACAAUUCCUCUAAAAUCCGUUCUCUUCUUCUCUUCUCUUCUAAAAAAAACUAGGGAGCAACCAAACUUCUGUGUUUUCCUUCCAAAUCCUCUUAAUUCCGUUCUCUUCUUUCGUUAAGUGAUACUCAGGAGCGGGGCGUAAGAGACGAGGGCUUCUGAGUCCUAAGUUGAAGUCAUUUUAUGAAAUGACUAAAAUGCCCCCACUGUUAAAUCCUUUAUUCAAAUUAGGUCCCAAUCUCCAAAAUGUGAUUCCAUUUAUUAACAAAUAGCCCCUCAUUUGGUUAUUUUUAACAGUAUGAAUCUAAAUCUUCAAACUUUGAAUAAAAAAAAUAACCAUUUGAGCCCUUCCUUUGAAAUUAUUUUUACCAAAUUAGUACCCGAUAGUUCAAAUUCGUUACUAAUAUAUAUUAAACUAAAUGAAAGAAAGUUGAAAAUGAAAUAUACAUUAAAGACAAAAUAGUUAUUAAAUCUUCACGGCAUAAAAUCCAAAACAAAAACCUUUUAAAAUAACAAAUGUGCAACUUUAAAACUAGUUUGUAGCCAAAGAAUACAACAUGCUCAAAUGUAACAUCAGAACCAUUCAUACUGAUUGCUUCUGUCGCUUAAGGCAUGCUCAGAUUGUGUAACAUUGCGGAUUCCCAGGUAUUAUUUAUUCUUAUAAUUUUUGAUGAUUUGUAAGGAGACUCGACGAGUUGGAGCUCAAGCUCGCCGAGUAUGAUCGCGGUUUGGGCAAGGGUUCGCGUCCAAACUCGGCGAGUCCACGAUGUUUAAUGAAACCCUAAUUUCCAGGGUAUGAGACAUAUUUAAAGGGGCUUGUGGCCGUUAUUUGCGGCCACCAACCCCAGAGAGAACCCUAAAGAGUCUUUGAGCGUUUUGUGAGAGAGAAGAGGAAAAUCCUUGACUAUUUGUGGGUUUCUUUGUGGAAUGAUCCAUGGAGUAAUUGGCCUCUUCUUGUGUUGGUGCUUUAGAUCUGGACCCAAAGAGGUCCAGAUACUCUUUUCCCUCAAGCUUUAUGAGUGUUAAUGGAGGCCAUGAGCUUAGAAUCGCAUUCUAGAGACCAUAUCAUCAAAUAAGGCCUUUGGACCUUUGCAUGAGCACCAAGAUUGUAACUUUACGUGAUGUAUGUGCUUGGAAGGACUGGAUCUAUGAGUUAUUGGAACGGAUCUGACCUCAGGAGUGAGUUUGAGUUUAUGCAUGGCAUAGACUCGCCGAGUCCGAAGAACAGACUCGGCGAGUAGCAUGAAGAUUGUCCAUAACCACUCAGCGAGUGGUCUUGCCGAGUUAAGGGGUUGACUCAGUGAGUCAGGGAGAGUCAGAGAGGGUUGACGGGUGGACUGAGUCAAGCUGGAACUCGCCGAGUUGUUCUUGAGACUCGGCGAGUUGAGUCGUGGUGGCCCCGCGAUUCAUGCCAGGUGGAACUCGUCGAGUCAGGGAAGUACUCGACGUUUCAAGAGAGGAUCCUAGGGAGUCAGUGAACACGUAUAGACUCGCCGAGUCGCUCUAGUGCACUCGCCGAGUCCGGUCAAAGUUGACCGUUGACCGUUGACCAGAGUUGACCAGUGUUGACUUGAUAGGGGUAGUCAACCUUAGUUGUGAAAGUGUUAAUUAGAGAUAUAUUGUGUUAUAGGAGGAUUAUAGCUCGGGGGAUCGAGCGCGAGUGAUUUCCGGGAUUUGCGAGUUAUCGAGAUACGCGAGGUGAGUCUUCUCACUAUACUUUACCUUGAGUAGGUAAUCAGAGUUAUGUGACAGAGUAUUUGUAUGCUAUAUGUAUGUUAUGUGUUGUACUGCAUUAUUCUAUGUGAUUUAUGUUGUGCAUGUUUAUAGAGUUGGAACCGGAAGGUUCACAGAGUUAGAACCAGAGGGUUCACAGAGUAGGGUCCACGGACCCACAGAGUUAUAGCCUCGAGUGGCUAAUAUGUGUUAUGUGUGGUAUUUCGGGGAACUCACUAAGCCUUGUGCUUACAGUGUUCGUGUUAUUUUUUUCAGGUACUAGUGAUGACCGUGGGAAGGCGCCGGCUUGAUCAGUACACACACACGAGAUUUUUAUGUUAUGUGAUAUUGGGAUUCUUUAUAUGUCAUGGAUUGGAGUUUCAAACAAUGAUGUUUUUAUGAAAAUUAAAUGAAUAUGUUUUUAUAUUAUGCGAAAAAUUAUUUUGAAAUUUACGGUGUUACAGAUUGACAGCUAAAUUCAAGACCAACAAUCCUCGACAAAUUUACAUGUAGAAAUAUAAGACGAACCAUUUACGCUCAUUGCCUCCUCCACACCUUCCUUUAACUUCUUUACUUUCUUUCUUAUCGCUUUUCCUUCUUCGCCCUCUAUCAAACACCUCACCAUCUUCUCUACCUCCUCCCUCCUGACGAAUUUCUUCGUCGGCAACACCUCCGGCCUCACCGCCACCUUCAGCUCCUCCGUCAACAUCGUUGCAUUCAUCCUCUGUUCUGCAUACAACACCCAUGCAAUCAUCGUUACCCCACUGCCAAUGCUCUCUAACGUUGAGUUCCAUCCACAAUGUGUCAGAAACCCCCCAAUCAACGCAUGGUUCAAAAUCUCCACCUGUGGGGCCCAUGAAUGCAUAACAAAACCCAUUUUCUUGGUUCGGUUCAAGAACCCUUCUGGAAGAUAAUCUGCUUGCCCAUUUAGUUCACCUGAAUGACCAGAUUCGAAAAAAGACCCAUCUUUAAUAUGUCCAGCAGGUGGUCGGACGACCCAAACAAAUCUUUGUUGGCUCAGCGCCAAUCCCCAAGCCAGCUCUGUAAUUUGCUCAGAUGAUAAUGUUCCACCGCUUCCAAAAAACACGUAUAUGACUGACCUUUCUGGUUGUUCGUCAAGCCAUUCAAUCACCUCACUCUUCAAGCCGACCGGUUGGUAGAUUUUGGUUAUCGGCCCAACUGUGUAAACUGGUUUGUUUUUAACCAUGGAACGUAAAAUCUCGUUAUUUCUGAGAGCGUGAAGAGAUUGUGGUUCCAGAUUUUCCCAUGUGUUUAUUAACAUGCCAUCUGCCAAAGUCAUACCAAUUGCUUGAUUUAAGUAAAAUCAAUUGUCUUCAUCAUCCCGAUCCAGCAUUGGAUCCACAACUUCCUCCGGUCAGACCGGUUUACAGCCCGGUAUCUCAAACGGCUAUGUCUGGUCAACAUAUUGACCUACCACUUUCUUAUCUAGCACCGGGGAGUAUAUGAACAAUCCGGUGAACCAUGCGUUACUAGUGAUGAAUACAUACUUAGGCAUUCCAAAUUCUUCAACGAUAACCCAAGAAUCUGUUGAAAAGAUAUCGGCAAUAAAGACGUAAGGACAAGGGUCCAUGGAGGAAAUUAUGGUACGGAUGGUGGGUAUUGUUUCCCGUAUCAUGGCGCAAAUCUUAGUGACGACUUUGGCAUCUGGAGAAACAACUGAAGAGAUGUCUGCAGCAGGUAUUUGGAUGACCAGAAGGUGGAUAUCGUCGGUGAAGGGAGUGAGGAGUUGGGAUUGGGCUGUUGGGGUGGUGGUGGUGACGGCAGGGAUGGUGACUUGGAGGUUGUGGUGGGUGACGAGACGGUGACCAAAUAAUAAUGCUGGAAUUAAAUGGCCGAUGUCGGGACUGCAUAGUAUUGUUGUGUGAAAUGUUUUAGGAGGCAUGGUGAAAGGGAGAAGAAGUGAAAUGAUUAAUGCGUUUUGUGGUAGUUUCUUUUUGUGUAUUUAUGAUGGAUGAAAAAAAUAUCCUUUUUACUGUAUUAUUGAGUCUUAACUCCUACGAAAAACUCCAAUCCAUCCAAAUAAAUAAGAAUCUUAUUAUCACAUGUCAUUCUCUCUCCUUCAAUUUGUGGUAAUUUAGAGAUAUUUAUUUUCCACUUGUCAUUUACUUCAUUUUUAAUUUUCCAAUAUAUCAUUAAUUUAGUUUCCAUAAAUUCAAUCUAUCAUAAUGACUAUAUUAAUUAUAAGUUUCAAAUUUCAAAUUUCAAAUUCAUUUUUUUAAUAAACACGUAAUUUUAAUUUAUUUAUUUUUUGCACGUUUUUUUAAUUUAUUUUCUCAUAAUUUUCAUUUAUUUCAAAUUUCAUAUACUAAUAAACUUCCCGUUUAAUCAUUCGUAUUUAACAUUUUGUUUUAAUCGAUCCGUAUAAAAAUAACACCAAAAAGAUAACUUUUAUGUUAUAAGGGUAAUUUACAGCUUUCGUCUUGUGGUUUGCCUCCGUACUUUAGUCCAACUUUUGCCUUUUUGACAUGGUUUUCUCGUAUGAUUUCAAAAUAUUGCAUCGGUGGUUACUAAAACAGUUACCGUUAACUACAAUUUAAAUAAACAUUUUUACCUAAGACAAAAAUAGUUAACACAUAUGAAUAUUUUUUAUCCUAAUAAAUAAAGGUUAUUUUUUCUAAAUAUUAACUUUUCAUUGAAUUUGAUAUAUGUUAUUUUGUAAAAAUUCUAGAAUUUUUUUUCUCAUUUAUCAUUUUUAUAUUUUUUUCUCUUUUAUUCAAAUGCCAUCUCAUAUUAGUUAAUUUUAUUAAUAUAUAAAUUUAUAUUUAUUAAUAUACAUAACAACCUUCCAUUUGUGAAUUUGUAUUUCUAUUAAUAUAUUAAUAAUAAUUAAUAUAUAUUAAUAUAGAUAAUAACUUUCCAUUUAUGAAUUCAUAUUAAUUAAUUUUAUUAAUACGAUUAAUAAAAAUAAAAUUAUAUAAAUAGUCAUUAUGGUUUACCAAAUGUCCCGAACUUAGUCAUUGCUAAUUUUCUUUCGAUAAACAUGGUCCCUGUAUUUUCCAAACCUUGCAUGAAUGAUCCUUUUUGCUCACAUCGUUACUUUUGAUAUUUUUAGGUAUGAAAGACUAAGUUUGUGAUCAUAGGUAAUCAUAAAGAUCUUUUAUGAAAUUCUAUCUGUCUAUCUAUAUAUAUUUACUAGAUGUAAAACUCGUAUAUUACACGAGUUGAUUAAAAAAAGAUUAAAUAUCAAAGUGUAAAUAAUAACCAUUUUUUAAAAUAAAAUUUUGAAAAAAGGAAUAAAAAAGAUAUUAAUUGCAAUUUACCAUCACAUUUAUUACAUUUAAACUAUACAUAUAUAAGUAUAAAUAUUACGUGACUUUUUAAUUUUAAAAUAAAAAGAAAUGACAUGUGGGUAUCAUUUAUUUCAAAAAUAUCACAAAAUGAUAAAUGUUAAAACUCAUGAAAGAUUGACAUGUGUCAAAAUAAAUUUCCAUUUAUUAUAAUAGAUAAUAGAGAUAUUUUCUUCAACCACAUUCAUUUGAAACCCCAAACUUUUCAGCUUAUUUUUAAAUUAAUACAUUAAAUCUAAUAUUAUUAUAAUUUCAAUAUUAAUUAUGUAUUCUCAAUAUAAUAUGUUAAUCUAAAUAUGAUGUUUAAUUCAAAACAUAAUUUUUUUUACUAUAUUCAAAACCUAUUUUUUCUAAAUAGUUAAAAAAAAAUUAAUAGAAGAUCUAAAUAAAAAUAUCAAAUUAACAAAAAAAAGUUGAUUAAAAUUUAUUUUUUAUAAUAAUAUUUUAUUUCCUCAAUAUUGAUAGUUUAAAUUAAAUUUAAAAAAAAAAUUAAGAGUUUAAAUAUAAAACACGUAUCAAAAGAUAGUUUUAAAAUUUAUUAAAAAUAAUAAAGGUGUAAAUAGAUGUUAAAUAUAAAACAACAUUGUUAUUCCAAAUUUACACACAACAUACAAAUAUAUUCACUGAAAUAAUAUCUGAGUAGUUGUGAGACCCUUGUAUUAAAUAAGUUAAUUUAAAAAAAAGUUAAAUAUAAAUUUCAAAAUAUUUGAAAACUUUGAAUUUUUAAGAAAAUAAGAAAAAUAAUGAGUUAUUAUAUUGAAUUUUUUUAUCUUUUAGAUUAAAAAAAAUAAUUUAAAUAAAGAAAACAUACUAAUGAGCUUUAAUUUUGGAAAUUUUGAAAUUAAAAGGUAAGUUUAUUAAUGAAAGUAAUAUCCAUAUAUUACUACAUUUAUUGUAAUUAUUAUAUUAAAAUAUUAUGUGGAAUUUAAUAAAAUAGAAAAAUUCAUAAAAUGACAUGUGGAUAAAAUAUGUCUAUCUAAAUUGAGUUUUGUUUUUAUUUUCACGGGUAGCAGUUAUUAAGAUAAUGCAGCUUUAAAUAGAAUAAUAUGAGAUCUAUUAUUUGAUACACAUAAAUUGAUUAGGAAAAUAAUUCUGUACAUCCAUGUUUCAUAAUGCUAUCAUUUAUUUAAAAUACUUAGAAUGUUUUAUAACAAAUUAGUAUAAAAUUUAUUAAUUUAUAGUUACUGAAAGACCCCAACUUUCGUAUUUCUGAAAGACCCAAACUUUCAUACUAUUCCAACAUUAUUCUUAAGUUACUUCCUCAAAACAUGCUACAUGCAUAUUUAUAAAACAAUAUUUUAUAUCGAUAAAGUGAUUACAAAAGAUUGGAUACAAACCGACUAAGUUUUAUUACAUUACAUAUCUACCCAGGAAUCUACUAUUCAUAUACAUACCUGAACAUUAAAAUACAGAGAAAUAGUAUUAACUAUUCUAAAUCUUUCAGCAGUAUAAAACUAUAUUGGAUACUCAUCACUUGCAAUUGUUUAACAUUGAGAGGGAUAAACGAUAACGCUUAGUGAAUUCAAUAAAUAGAUACAAUAUAAUCUUAUGUCUUAUAUAUACCAAUAUGACAGAAGCAAAAAAGGAACAAGAACGACAAUAGCAUAUGCGUAUAAUAUGUCAGGCAUUCAAUAUCAACUCAAAAAUUGAUUCAAAGAUUUACGAUCAAUGAGACAUAACGAUUUCAAUACUUGAUAUGCAUCAAUAAAGCUUUGGCCCAAAUGGCACAGAAGACAUAUAAUUUCCGAUUAACAUUUUGAUAGAUUUCAGGCUUAUAGCCCUGUCUAACCAUUUGCCAAUACCAUAGAAUAGAGGUCAUUCUCCUACGGAGUCAUGCUCUACAUGGUCAGAGGCUACACACCAAUCCUAUUUAACCUCCUGCUAGUGCCAUAGAAUAGAAUUCAUUCUCUUACGAGACAUGUUCUACAUGGCCAGAGGCUAGAUACCAGUACCACCGUGAAUCUAAGUCCUUUCACUGAUCAUAUGGUCAAAGGUAUAACUUUGCUAUUAAAAAUAGCGAAUAAAAAUAACCCGGGAAAAUGACCCGGAAUAAUAACACUGAAACAUAGCACAUAUAACACAUAACAUACAAUUGUUCCUAUAUAUUAAACUCACCUUAAAAUAAUCGGGGGGUUAAAAUAGUAAUUUGAGCAGCAUAUCGACUCCAAAUAUGGCUUUAUUCGUUGAAAACCGGGAGAAUUAGCUAAAAACGGGCUCUAAAAAGGUAAAGCUUCAAACCGAAAAGAAUAAUUUUUCGGGCUCUCCGGGCACUUCGGUACAUAUUCCGAGCAUUAAAAAUAAUAUCGGGGCUUCGGGGGAUGUUGAUAUAGCUUAAAAUGGGUUUAGGAGUGAAAAAGUGUGAAUUUUCUAACCUUAGCCGGGAGGGUUCGCACCCUCCUAUUUAUAGGAGGCGAAGGUCUUCGGCCGAGGGGAGGAGGGGAAGCUGGCAGCUCGCGAGAGGACCAGACGGCACGCAUGCGAGGGCUCGAGGUGGCUCGGUUCGGACGCGACAGGCGUCUUCAGAUGCGAGGAGUCACCGGGUGACUAAGCUGCUUCGGACAACUCAUCGCGACACGCGUUGGAUCUGGGCAAGGGUGAGUCACGAUGUCAAAAACGAGGCAGACAUGGCAUCGGACCAAUCAGAGGGUGCCACGCGAGGCUGCGGUCCAAUCAGAAGAUGCCACGUGGAUCAACACUAUUCAUGCGAAAAUUAAAUGAAAUGUGUCCAAUCUUGUAAAAUCCAUAACGUUCUCAUAUGGGCUUCGUUUUUGACGUUCUUUAUAUGCACGCGUAGCUAAAAUUAUGCUCUACAACUUUCGUUUAGACUUCAUCGGCUAAUUUUGAAUUUAAUUUUAAUAUUAUUAUUUUUAACAGACAGGACAGGAAAAUCCGUUAAAAAUUCAUAACUUUUUCAUCCGACGUCCGUUUUCGUCAGACCUUUUACCGUUGUACUACAAAUGAUGAGACCUUCAAUUUUCGUUUAGGUUGUGUCGGCUAAAAAUCACUCAAUCUAAAAUUCGAGUUUUUAGUUGUCUACUGCUAAGCUGAAAUUCGAAAAACCAUAACUUCCUCAUGUGAAGUCAGAUUUUGGCGUUCUUUUUAUCGAACUUCUCGGUUUAACGAAUACUACGAAUUUCAUUUAGAUUACUAAGGCUAAAAAGUAGUUUAUCAAUAACUCACUUUUUACGUCAUUCGGCGCUGUGUCGGUUUUGCCGCGGAUCUUCGAUUGGUCAUAACUUCUUCGUUAUAACUCGGAUUUCGAUGAGGUUUUCACCUAAAUGUUUCUAACGAGAUUAUCUACAACUUUCAAUAAUAAAAUUUUACUUAUUUCAAAUUUUAUAUUUUUGCUAAAUUUCACUAUUUGGCUUUUAAUUGGAAUCUCAUAAGACUUCCAAUAUCUGAAUGAUUCUAAGCAUAGUUUUACUUACUUUCUAGUAAAAACUAUCCAUUAGAACUCAACACUCAAUUUUAUUCACUUUAAAUAAUAACAAUACACGAUUUCAGAACGUGUAUGUUACAGUUACAAACAAUAAUAUGUUUAUUUUAAUAAUAUAUAUUUUUCAAUAUUUUAAUUAUAAUUGAACAACGCACAAAAUAUAGCCUAGUAUUUUAUGUUUAUUAGUUUUUGGCUUUUCCAUCAAAUUAUUUUUUAAAAUUUCACUUUGAACUUUUUAAAUGUAAUUUACACCAUCCAUUUUCUAAACUUUGGUGUUUAUCAUUUGUGGUAUAUACAAUUUGAUUUUCUUUAAGAACUUUCGCCCGUUAACCAAAAAACUAUUUUUACGUGCUUAUUUUUAUAUAUGUGUCGGUAUACAUUUAAAGAGAUCAACUUUUCAACAUGAAUUCAAAACUUUCAUUCGUUAAUUUUAAAAAAUAAAAUUACUUGUUUUUUCUUUAUCCACGUGUUCGUUUAAAUUCGAGUUUGUCUACGUUUCAACGUAAUAUUUUUAUGUUUCUGUGCUUAAUUUUUGUAUGUUUCCUAGUAUGAAUCGGGUAAUAUAUAAUAAAUUUUAUUCGUUAACUUAAAAAAACUAAUUUUUAUGCAUGUGUCGGUAUAAAUUCAAGGUGCUCAAUGUUUCGACGUAAAUGUAACAUCUUGUUUCAAAAAGUUUCUUAUUUGAGGAUUAAUGUGGACAAUAAAUGGAUCAAGUAAAGGCCUUGAGAUUCAAGGGAAUGAGGUUUAGACCUUAUUGGAUGAUGAUAAUGUUGGAUAAGUGAUUAAAGCCUAGGUUUUUAUCUUGGAGUCAAAGGGUAAAAUGGGAAAAUGAUGUUUCAAACUUCUUUUAUGAAUUAAUGGUUUUAGUUCGAUGUGUUUUAAGUCAAAAGUAAUUAGAUAGGGUUGUGGGGCUCGUCAAUACAUUUGUGUUCAUAUAAAGAACGUUGAAAACAGAUUUGAAACGAAGAAUUUAUGACUCUUUGAAGUUGGAGUGAAAUUGGGUGAAAACCCGUUCUCACGGGGUGAGAAGUAAUUUUCACGACGUGAGAAUCCUCACGAGGUGGGAAUAUAUUCUCAUGAUAUGAGAGCUGUACAAUCCAAAGCCCACAAAAUUUUCAGGGCUUUCAAGGUGUUUAAAGGUAAGGAUUCAUGUUUUAGGGUGUUUUCUUAGCCUCGAUCAUAUCUAGAACCUCUUAAGAGAAACCCCUAGCCUCUAUUUUCUAGAUUUGAGCCUCCUCAGUCCUCUCUCAUCCAUUUUUAGAGUUUUUGGUGGUUUUAGAACAAUGUUUUCAUGCAAUAUUAAUCCUUGAAGCUUGGCAAUUGAAGAUCUCAACUUUCAUCUACCUUCUAGACCUUUGUAAGUUAUAAAGUUCCAAGCUUUAUUGCAUUUCAUCUUUGGAUCUAAGUGUAUUUGGUGUUUUGGUCCAUUUUAAUGAGUUUUGAAUGAGAGCUGGAAAUAUAGAAUGCAACAUUAUUACUCUCCAAGGUCCCAAGAACAUUAUAUGUUUUAGAUAUGGACUCCAACACCUUUUGAUCAGUUUUAAACAUUUUCUUGGACCUCGUGGACUAGGAAUGUUUUGAUCUUUUGCCUUCCCUUUUAGCCAUGCAAGUUAUUUUGGUCAUUUAGGCCAUUUUGGUGUAUUAAAGUUUAGAUCUUGAAAGCUUGAGAUACUAUUAUGGAUAAAGUUGGAAAGUUUAUCCAUCUAAACAUCAUGUUGAUUCAGAUCUGAAGGUUGGAGACUUGGACUUAAUGGAUUAAGUUGAAAAAGAUGCAUUUUUAGGUCCCUUUGAGACUUAAAGUCUAGAUCUUUGUGGUUUGAACCUUCCUAAUGGAUAAAGUAAGAAACUUUAUACAUUAAGACCUUGGAAAUGAUCAGAUUUGAGCUUUGGAGCUCUUGAAAUUAGAAGAAAAUUGAUUAAGCUCGUUUGAUUUGUUCAGACUAGUCUCCACGGUGUGGCCUUAGGCUACCAUGACGUGACGACUGUGGGAUAAAUAGAGAUUGUUUUUGGCAUUUUGUGCCCAUGGUGUGGCCAAAUCUACCCACGAGAAAACCAUGGUCAUUUAUAAUGACAAGCCGGAGAAAACCUAAAAUUUCAUUCCUACCCUAAAAAUCAAACGAUGGACUGUUGUGAACUUCUCGACUCACCAUCAUUUAAUCAAACGUGAAGGAUUUGAUUAAAUGUGGAAGUUCAAGCGAAGACUUUUUCCCAAGGAAUGAACGUUGGAAUUUUAACAACAAAAAAAAAUUUAUGUUAGAUACUACCAAUGAUUCCAUCAGGAACUUCAUUAUGGUAGCCCAAUUGUCAACUACAUUAACACCAAAAGGAAACAAAGUCCAACUGGAAAGAUAUGAAAGAGAUGGUAUUCCAUAAGUUGGAACAACUAUGGUGUAACGCAACAAUCCUACCUUUUUGAAAGAACAUAAAACUUGUUCGUACACAACGACAUGUACAUAAUGAAUUGAGGUGCACAUAGGUGAAUUGAGACGAGGUUUGCCUAUACUUUUAGUUGAAUGACUUAAAUGAGAAAUUUAUUGGCAUCAUGAUGUGUGAUAUUCGCUAACAUUGUAAUAAAAUCUACAUGGUAGCAAAUGUACUGAGCCAAAAAGAACGUACCAGACCGUGCUGAAUACAUGUAUUAUCUAUGACCAUCCAUUCAAACUUACAUAUCAAGUUCAAAAAGUUUUACUCGAGAUUCUAAGAGAGAAAAGCUUCGUGCGUGAAGCUCUAUGAAGACUGGAUAAACAUUUCAAGCUCAGGGAUGACAUGACGCGAUACUUUAUGAACCAAAUUUGCACCCCUAAGUACAAUGACCAUGUGAGCAUAGUUUUCAAUAAAGCUCACAGGUUAAAGUGUCCCAUGCAUCCAAGUUAUGACCCAAUGUGCUUAGAUUUGAACAAAUUGAAGUGAUGAACAUGCAUGAAAGCGAAGAUUACCAUUUGAAGCUUUAUACGGGCGAGAGUGUCAACCCUAGAUAUGUUGAACAAUGAUUGGAGAUACGAAACUCAACAAAGAGCAUGCAGGUGAUGCACUGCAUUUUUAUCCAAGAUUCAAUCAAGAGAUCACAUAAAAGAUUGUGUGAAAAGGAACAAGAUUCCAGAUUGUCCACAAACUACAAGAGAGUUAUAUGAAUAAAAUAUGUAAGCUGAUCGACUUCCAAGUCAGAGACUGUGUAAGAUUUAAAAUGUCUUCUCUUUUAGAAGAAUAAUUUGGCUUAGAUAACAAAAUCAAGUUAAACCACGACUCAAAGGACCUUCGAGAUUUGUAGACAAAAUUUGGUCCUAAUAUUUACAUCAAGUUAUCUGGAAAACUAAACGAUGUGCACGACACUUUUUCAUACGUCAAAUCUCAAGGAGUGUCUGUCCGAUGACACACUUGUUAUCUCUGUUUCAAUGAAGUGAGCUAGGAAACCAUGCGAAUACUUCAUAAUUGGGAAAGUAAAUGCGAUUAAAAUGUAUAUAAAACUCGAUGAUCUUUAAAAUAUUUGAUUCGGUCAUAUUCCAUAUUCCUUAUUUAGGGGUGACUUGUGGUAAAGUCAUAUAAUGGAUCGGUUAUCUAAUCUAGAGCUAUGCGGCUUAAAUCGACUUUAGACAAGAUCAUGUAUGGAUAAAGCGAAAAGAAAUCAUCACCAAUUGUUUUAUAAUAUUUUUAUCUACACGUUGAAUUUCGGGACGAAUUUCUUUCAAUAAGGAGUAAUGUAACAAUUGGUAAAAAUUGGUCAGCGUUCGACGGUCAAACCACUGCGAACCGCUAUGUAUUAAUAACCAAUUGUGUGUAAUUUUAUGUUUAUAGUGUAUAUUAAAUAUAUAUUAUAUUUAUAGUUCCUUUUAGAACAUCCCAAAAUGCUUAAAUUGUCUAUUAAUGAAGAUUGAAUCAAAAACCAACCAAAGUUAAGUCUCUUUGUGACGUGAAAAAUAAAAAUUUUGCAUUAAAAAUAUUUGAGAGUUAUGGAUAAGAAAUUUGAGUAGAUUACGUUCUCCUAACUUAGUGGAUAUAAAGAUCGUCGAAAACGGAGGUCAUAUGAGAAAGUUACAUCUCUUUAAAGUUACAAAAACCAAUAAUUAUCUGAUAUUCCUGAACAAACCGUGCACUACUUCAUUUGUGAUAGUUACAAGCCUCGUAAAUUAUUUUUGAACAUGUUUUUGACUUCAGACUUUAAUCUAUUAUUUUAUUAUAAUUUUAUAAUAUUUUUAACCUCGACCAAAAUUUGUCGAAAUUGAUCCAAUUAAUCGCAAAACUUUAAACACUAAUUCACGGAGUUUGGUAUAUCGGAAUUGAAUUCCUUCUGCGUUUCUGAAAUCACAACCAGCAAGGCAAUCAACAAUCAACAGACAAUUUCAUAAAAUUAUUAUGGAGGCGGGAUCGAUGGCACGAGAACCGUAAAUCAAAAAUUACAUCAUAAAAUAAAUAAACAAAUAAAUUACACCAUUUGGUUUUACAUCAAAUAUAUCUUAUACAUCUAAUCUUUGUACAACAAAUCAAUUUAAAUCCACCCCCCCCCCCCCNNNNNAAUUGACCCAUCCAAAAAACCCCUUAUGUAGAACCAGUGAAAAAGAAGAUUUGGGCCAGUGAUCUUUCGCCCGCGGUGGCAAUCCCAAUCCUUCAGCCCCUCUCAGCCACCUACACGUCAUGCAACACAUCACUCUACCAUAGUGUAACACCUAGAAUCAGAAACACCAAGAAAAGAAAAGAAAGACUCUAAGUCAAUAGUCAUCUCUAAUUCACGGAAUUUGGUAUAUCGGAAUCGAAUUCCGUCCGGAUUUCUGGAAUCACAACAACCAAGGCAAUCUAUAGACAACUUCAUAAAAAUAUUAUGGAGUCAGGAUCGAUGGCACAAGAAUCGAGAAUCAGAGAUUUCAUCAUAAAAUAAAUAAACAAAUAAAAUAAACCAACCAUUUGAUUUUACAUCAAAUAUCUCUUAAAAAUCUAAUAUUUGUAAAACAAAUCAAUUAAAAUCCACUAAAAUCUUUGUAAAAUCAGAUUUUUUUUUUUCAAAAACCCCCAUCAUUAUAGAAUCACUGAAGAAGAUUUCGGCAGGGCGAUUCUUCGCCGGCGGCGGCAGUCCCAAUCCUUCAGCCCCUCUCAGCCACCUACAGAUCGUGCAACACACCACUCCACCAUAGACUACUCUCUGUUGCUUGUUCCUUCGUGUUUGUUACCUGCAACGAGAAAGAAAAACAGUUGAAAGAAAACCACCGGAGGUGAAGCUGCAAUUCCGAUCACUAAGAAGACUAAAACCCACAUCCCCCUCUGUUAUUCCUUCUUCUCCUCCUUCGAUUGCUGCCAAGAACAACCAAGAGGGCAGUAGCCCAUUUCUUCUUCGUGUUUCCUUCUUCCUGCCAAGCAAUCAAACCCAAACACUCCAAAAACCGCAUCGAUUUUAUAUCAAAACAAUCAAAACCAUACAUGUUGCUGAUCCCGUUCAUUUUUUUCUGCUGAAGAAGAACCACCCAAACGCCCUAGCUACCAUGAUCGAUGAUUGUCCUGCUAGCCAUGGCUGCUUCCGUUCAUCUUCUUCUAUUCGGUCAGUCCAGAAAUUGAAGACCCGUUUUGACUUCUACCUUAGUUCUUCUACACAACCGGUCAAAGAACGGAGGCGCUCCUUUUUCUUCAUGAUCGGUCGACGACCGAAGGCAAAUUCCAGGCAUCGGAGGCGCUCCAUCUUCUUCGCGAGAUGACGACCGCCAUCAGGCCUCGCAGCCAUCUCGUUUUCCUUCGCAACUCCUUCCAAGACUGAAGACGAGCAGCCCCGCUGCUUCGUCUCUUUCUUCUAGUCCGAGGUCACAGCCGCCUCGCUGCUUCGAUCCUUCUUCUUCGGUCUAGUCGAACGACGGAGGCCGCCACCGAUUGCGAGUCGAGCGACGAACCAUCGUGCUCCCUUCUGGUCGCCGAUUGCCCCUUCGCGUCUAUAAUCGACUUCCUUGGUGACCUCCUUUGGGAACGAUUCAUAUCCUCUACCCCAUCAAAACAAAAG